rnacentral:rRNA from 1 species
ACGUACACUCCUACGGGAGGCAGCAGUGGGGAAUAUUGGACAAUGGGCGCAAGCCUGAUCCAGCCAUGCCGCGUGAGUGAUGAAGGCCCUAGGGUUGUAAAGCUCUUUCACCGGUGAAGAUAAUGACGGUAACCGGAGAAGAAGCCCCGGCUAACUUCGUGCCAGCAGCCGCGGUAAUACGAAGGGGGCUAGCGUUGUUCGGAUUUACUGGGCGUAAAGCGCACGUAGGCGGACUAUUAAGUCAGGGGUGAAAUCCCGGGGCUCAACCCCGGAACUGCCUUUGAUACUGGUAGUCUUGAGUUCGAGAGAGGUGAGUGGAAUUCCGAGUGUAGAGGUGAAAUUCGUAGAUAUUCGGAGGAACACCAGUGGCGAAGGCGGCUCACUGGCUCGAUACUGACGCUGAGGUGCGAAAGCGUGGGGAGCAAACAGGAUUAGAAACCCUAGUAGUCCCAUGA